rnacentral:rRNA from 1 species
AGAAUUGAUCUGGUCAGGACGAACGCUGGCGGCACGCUUAACACAUGCAAGUCGAACGAACGGAGAUAGCUUGCUAUCAAAGUUAGUGGCGGAUGGGUGAGUAACACGUGAGCAAUCUGCCUUUAAGUGGGGAAUAACGAUUGGAAACGGUCGGUAAUACCGCAUAAUAUAGCGAAAUCGCAUGAUUUUGCUAUCAAAGGUUUAUCGCUUAAAGAUGAGCUCGCGUCUGAUUAGCUAGUUGGUGAGGUAACGGCUCACCAAGGCGACGAUCAGUAGCCGGACUGAGAGGUUGAACGGCCACAUUGGGACUGAGACACGGCCCAGACUCCUACGGGAGGCAGCAGUGGGGAAUAUUGCACAAUGGGCGCAAGCCUGAUGCCAGCGAUGCCGCGUGAGGGAAGAAGGUUUUCGGAUUGUAAACCUCUGUUGACAGGGACGAUAAUGACGGUACCUGUUCAGAAAGCUCCGGCUAACUACGUGCCAGCAGCGGC